AAUUAGUGGCGAACGGGUGAGUAACACGUGAGUAACCUGCCCUUGACUCUGGGAUAACCUCCGGAAACGGAAGCUAAUACCGGAUACGACGUACGGAGGCAUCUCCUGUACGUGGAAAGAACUUGGUCAAGGAUGGACUCGCGGCCUAUCAGGUAGUUGGUGAGGUAACGGCUCACCAAGCCUACGACGGGUAGCCGGCCUGAGAGGGUGACCGGCCACACUGGGACUGAGACACGGCCCAG
rnacentral:rRNA from 1 species